rnacentral:rRNA from 1 species
GACGAACGCUGGCGGCGUGCCUAAUACAUGCAAGUAGAACGCUGAAGGAGGAGCUUGCUUCUCUGGAUGAGUUGCGAACGGGUGAGUAACGCGUAGGUAACCUGCCUGGUAGCGGGGGAUAACUAUUGGAAACGAUAGCUAAUACCGCAUAAGAGUAGAUGUUGCAUGACAUUUGCUUAAAAGGUGCAAUUGCAUCACUACCAGAUGGACCUGCGUUGUAUUAGCUAGUUGGUGAGGUAACGGCUCACCAAGGCGACGAUACAUAGCCGACCUGAGAGGGUGAUCGGCCACACUGGGACUGGGACACGGGCCAGACUCCUACGGGAGGCAGCAGUAGGGAAUCUUCGGCAAUGGACGGAAGUCUGACCGGGCAACGCCGCGUGAGUGAAGAAGGGUUUCGGGUCGUAAAGCUCUGUUGUAAGAGAAGGAAGAGUGUGAGAGUGGAAAGUUCACGCUGUGACGGUAUCUAACCAGAAAGGGACGGCUAACUACGUG